rnacentral:rRNA from 1 species
UACGUAGGUGGCAAGCGUUGUCCGGAUUUACUGGGCGUAAAGAGCGCGCAGGCGGUCGUUCAAGUCGCGUGUGAAAGCCCCCCGGCUCAACUGGGGAGGGUCACGCGAUACUGAUCGACUCGAAGGCAGGAGAGGGAAGUGGAAUUCCCGGUGUAGUGGUGAAAUGCGUAGAUAUCGGGAGGAACACCAGUGGCGAAGGCGACUUCCUGGCCUGUUCUUGACGCUGAGGCGCGAAAGCUAGGGGAGCAACGGG